rnacentral:rRNA from 1 species
UACGAGGACCCCAAGCGUUAUCCGGAGUUACUGGGCGUAAAGCGCGGGUAGUUGGUUUUGUUAGUCCAAUGUUAAAUCUCAGGAUUCAACCCUGGGACCGCAUUGGAAACUGCAAAACUAGAGCGGGUUAGAGGCAAGCGGAACGUGCGGUGUAGGGGUGAAAUCCAUUGAUAUCGCACGGAACACCAAAAGCGAAGGCAGCUUGCUAGGCCUCUGCUGACAAUCAACCGCGAAAGCGUGGGUAUAAAAAAGGAUUAGAUACCCUUGUAUUCCACGCCCUAAACGAUGCAGACUAGCUAUUGGGAGCAUCGACCCUUCCAGUGGUAAAGCUAACGCGUUAAGUCUGCCGCCUGGGAAGUACGAGCGCAAGCUUAAAACUCAAAGGAAUAGGCGGGAAUUUGCACAAGCGGUGGAUCAUGUGGUUCAAUUCGACUCUAAGCGAGGAACCUCACCAAGGCUUGAAAUCCAGCUGCAACACUCUAGGAAUAGAGGAGCCUUCGAGGGUGCUGGACAGGAGCUGCACGGCUGUCGUCAGCUCGUCGCAUGAGCGGUUCCCUUAAGUGGGUUAACGAGCGCAACCCCUAUUGCGUGUUAUACGUGACACGCGAGACUGCCUUCGUAAGAAGGAGGAAGGUGGGGAUGACGUCAAGUCAGCGUGGCCCUUUGAUAUCCUUGGGCUACACACAUGAUACAAUGGAUGUUACAAUGGGUCGUCAAACCGCGAGGUGGAGCUAAUCCCAUCAAAAGCAUCCUCAGUUCGGAUAGGAGGCUGCAACUUGCCUCCUUGAAACCGGAAUCGCUAGUAAUCGCUGAUCAGAACGCAGCGGUGAAUACGUUCUCAAUAUUU